rnacentral:snRNA from 1 species
GGGUGGAAAGACUUUCUGGCUGUGACAUAUCACCUGCAUUGACCACCUGAUUGAUCAGCUGAUCUACCUCACUAGGCAGAUAUUCCCCUUUCCUUCUCCACUCCAUGUGCAUCCCUCCUGGAGCUACCUGCUGAUGGAAGAGAAUGACCUGUCCCUGAUCAAGAAGGACCCAUCUUGAGUCGAGGGUAGAGGCGUAGGUGCACUCCCCUGCUAGAAGCUGAAGUUCGGGGUCUGCAUCUCCAGUGUUAACAAUUGAUGCAAACAAGGGUGAUCACUGAAAAUGGUAAAAGUUACCGUGGACCAGUUUGCUUCCUC